rnacentral:rRNA from 1 species
GGAAUUUUGGACAAUGGGCGCAAGCCUGAUCCAGCAAUGCCGCGUGAGUGAAGAAGGCCUUCGGGUUGUAAAGCUCUUUUGUCAGGGAAGAAACGGUGGACUCUAAUACAGAUCACUAAUGACGGUACCUGAAGAAUAAGCACCGGCUAACUACGUGCCAGCAGCCGCGGUAAUACGUAGGGUGCAAGCGUUAAUCGGAAUUACUGGGCGUAAAGCGUGCGCAGGCGGUUUGGUAAGACAGAUGUGAAAUCCCCGGGCUCAACCUGGGAAUUGCAUUUGUGACUGCCCGACUAGAGUGUGUCAGAGGGGGGUAGAAUUCCACGUGUAGCAGUGAAAUGCGUAGAGAUGUGGAGGAAUACCGAUGGCGAAGGCAGCCCCCUGGGAUAACACUGACGCUCAUGCACGAAAGCGUGGGGAGCAAACAGGAUUAGAUACCCCGG